GAUGAACGCUAGCGAUAGGCCUAACACAUGCAAGUCGAGGGGCAGCACAAGGUAGCUUGCUAUCUGGGUGGCGACCGGCGCACGGGUGCGUAACGCGUAUGCAACUUGCCCUAUACAGGAGGAUAACCCGUCGAAAGACGGACUAAUACUGCGUAUGCUCACAACUUGGCAUCAAGUGGUGAGGAAAGAAAUUCGGUAUAGGAUAGGCAUGCGUCCCAUUAGCUUGUUGGUGAGGUAACGGCUCACCAAGGCAACGAUGGGUAGGGGAACUGAGAGGUUUAUCCCCCACACUGGUACUGAGACACGGACCAGACUCCUACGGGAGGCAGCAGUGAGGAAGAUUGGUCAAUGGGCGCGAGCCUGAACCAGCCAAGUCGCGUGAAGGAUGACUGUCUUAUGGAUUGUAAACUUCUUUUAUACGGGAAUAACAAGAGUCACGUGUGACUCCCUGCAUGUACCGUAUGAAUAAGCAUCGGCUAACUCCGUG
rnacentral:rRNA from 1 species